GUCAGCACCCCCGGCUGAAGCACGGGGGCUUCGUGCCUCCCGCAACAGGAUAGCUAACCAGCCUAAGCUUUAACUGGCUACGUUCAGAGCAAGAGUUAAAGUUCCUACCCUGGAAUGCUUGCUAGUUCCAGGCUCUAGAACCGAAUCGUUAAAUAGUUGAUCGAGGGAGUAGACAGUGCGAUUUGGAAAGUACCGACUCUGAACAUUGGCGAAGCAACCAUUAC
ncrna:Cyanothece sp. PCC 7424 HNH endonuclease-associated RNA and ORF (HEARO) RNA